GGCAGUCCCGCUGCCCGCUCGGCGCGCAGCGGCCGGGUAUGGGGGAGCUCUCGCCGCUGCUUCUACUGCCGCCGCUGCUGCUUCUCUGCCCGCGCCCCACGGCUCCGGCGCCGCCUCCUUUCUCGGCCUGAAGCGCGCCCGCACUCGUGGAUCCCGGCGGGGAAGGGGCCAUGGGCCGCCUCCCCGAGGCGCGGCGGCUGUGAGACGGCUGGCGCUCGCUCGGGGAGCCGGGAGACUGCCGGCCGGCCAGCCUGCGCCGGGGGGGCUGCGGCCGGGAGGGGAGUGCCGCUCCCAGCCGGCGGCGGGCACGCACGCGGCACCUCGGUGUCGGUGACUUGGGGGUCUCCCCCUCCCGCGUCCCCGCCGCGCCCGGCCGCGACGGUGGAUGGAUGCGCCAUGGCCACGCUGGUGUGCCGGGUGCAGCUGCUGGAUGACACCGACCCCUUCAACAGCACCAACUUCCCCGAGCCCACCCGGCCGCCUCUGUACACCUUCCGGGAGGACAUCCCGCUCGCCACCCAGCUGGCCGGGGUGCACCGCCUCCUCCGCGCCCCGCAGAAGCUUGAUGACUGCACCCUGCAAUUGUCUCACAACGGUACCUAUCUAGAUCUAGAAUCCACCCUAGCUGAACAAAGAGAUGAAUUGGAAGGCUUCCAGGAGGAUGCUGGGAGGGGCAAGAAGCACAGUAUAAUUCUGAGGACCCAGCUGUCGGUGAGAGUCCAUGCCUGCAUUGAAAAACUUUACAAUUCCAAUGGACGGGAGCUGAGACGGGCACUUUUCUCCUUGAAACAAAUAUUUCAGGAUGACAAGGACUUGGUUCAUGAGUUUGUUGUCGCUGAAGGUCUGACUUGCUUAAUCAAAGUGGGAGCGGAGGCUGACCAGAAUUAUCAGAACUACAUCCUGAGAGCUUUGGGCCAGAUUAUGCUCUAUGUCGAUGGCAUGAAUGGAGUAAUAAAUCAUAAUGAAACCAUCCAAUGGCUGUACACACUUAUUGGGUCAAAGUUCCGCCUGGUGGUAAAGACAGCACUGAAGCUGCUGCUGGUGUUUGUGGAGUAUACCGAAUCCAAUGCACCGCUUUUAAUCCAGGCAGUAUCUACUGUCGAUGAAAAGAGAGGAGCCAAGCCGUGGUCCAACAUCAUGGAGAUCCUGGAGGAGAAGGAUGGGGUUGAUACCGAACUACUGGUUUACGCAAUGACCUUGGUUAACAAGACGCUGUCGGGGUUGCCAGAUCAAGACUCUUUCUACGACGUGGUGGACUGUCUGGAAGAGCUAGGCAUUGAAGCUAUUUCACAGAGACACUUGAACAAGAAAGGAACAGACUUGGACUUAGUUGAGCAAUUUAACAUUUAUGAGCUGACACUGAGACACGAGGAUGGAGAUGAGAGUGCUGACCCCCCUCCCAGUGGGCGCAAGGACCGGAGAAGGGCCAGUCUUGGUGCUAGCGAGCGAAGGGGGUUAGAGCGCCGACGGAGCCGCAGGCACUCGGUACAGAACGUCAAAAGCACUUUAUCGGCCCCUGCGAGUCCGUGCGGUCAGCCGAACCCUGGCUUCAUGCUAGGCCACGGACAGCGCGUUGAAGAUCUCAGUGAGAGUGAGCUGGAGGCUGAACGCCCUGUGGUCUCACAGGCUGAUGACAAGGAUGACAGUGCACUUGAGGCUGAGUUUAAAGCAUCUUCAGUAGAGGAGGAAGAGUAUGAAGAGGAGGAAGAAGAACAGCCAGUCACAGAGCCCAAUACUGAGGAUGAGGGGGAGGAAGAGGCCGGUAGGCAGGUCAAAGCCAGUGGGCUGCCAGGUGCACGGGAGGCUGUGAAUGAAAACCUUUCACGGUGCUCUGAUUCUUCAGCUGUCUCCAGUGCCAUUUCUCCAGCUGAGUGGCCUCUCUCCUGCUCUAGAGCAAAGAGCUCUUCUAGCAGCUCCUCUUCUGUGCCUGACUCAUCUGUCUGUCAUCAUAAUUCUGUCCUUUCAUCACCAUCUUCACCUGCGACAGCACUGCUAAGCUCUUCCCAAAAUUCAUCAGCAUCCAUUACUCCAAAGGCAUCUCCUACAGUGGAGAAAUUACCUUAUGUACCACAUACUCCUUUUCACCUCUUCUCGUACGACUUUGAAGAGUCUCCAGCAUCUGUGAAAGAAAAGGAAGCAGAGGUGAUGAGGGAAAACAGAUACAAUAGCUAUGGCAGCAGCUCUUACUCUUCUCCACGACCUUACUCUGGUGUGAGUGCCCCUACGACACCUACUUCUCGUUAUGGGACAACUCUCUCGCCGCCUCAAGAGACCAAAUCUGACAGGCCAGCUUUGGGUGGUCUCCUUACAUCAUCUUUUCGGCAGCACCAGGAGACCUUGGCAGCAGAAAGAGAAAGACGACGUCAGGAGAGAGAAGAAAGGUUGCAAAGGAUAGAACGUGAAGAAAGAAACAAAUUCAACCGCGAUUAUUUAGACAAAAGAGAAGAACUAAGACAAGCAAGAGAAGAGAGAUACAAAUACUUGGAGAGGUUGGCAGCGGAGGAGUAUGAGAAGGAGCUGAAGAGUCGGAGCGUAAGCCGAGGCAGAAGUGAGCUGUCCUUAAACCUGAGAUCUCCUUCAGCCCCAUCCUCGCCUGUACCCAAGUGCAUCAGCCCAGCAUCCACAGAGUCCCAGGAAGAGCUGAAGACCCCUUCCACUCCCUGUGGGACCUCUCAGCCCUCAGAAGGUCCAUGGUCGCAGACCAUUCAGGAUGCUGGUGUGAAUGAGCAGUGCAGCAACAUCCUCAACAACAAGCGGUUUAUGCUGGACAUGUUGUAUGCGCAUAACAAAAAGCCCAAGGAUGAAGAGGAGAAGGAGCUGGAGGCGAAGGAGGAAAAGAAGGAGACGGAGGAAAGUGACGAGUCACUCACUAGCCUAGCCAGUAGGAUCUCUAUCCUGCAGGCAACGAAGCAGGCCAAAGAUGAAAGUGUCAAAAAGAUGGAGAUCGGAAAUCUGGACAACCAAGGCAGUGUGAAAGCCUUUGCGGAAAAAUUCAACAGUGGUGAGCUGGCCAAGGGGACAGCCAUGCCUGAAGAUGAAAUCAGUGAACAGGUCCCCGAGAAAACACCAGCACAGCCAAAGAAGGAAUCUGACUACAUCUGGGAUCAGCUCAUGGCUAAUCCUAGAGAACUUAAAAUCAAAGACAUGGAUUUUACAGACUUGGGGGAGGAGGAUGAUGUAGAUGUGUUGGACAUGGAUAUGGGUCCUGGGGACUCCCUUGUUCCCCCUCCUCCACCUCCACCUUCUUUUCUGGGUUUGCCUCCUCCACCACCUCCCCCGCUGUUUGGAUGUCCGCCUCCACCUCCACCCUCUGCUAAUUUAUUGGCUCCUCCUCCGCUGUUCAGCACUCCUCAGGGUUUAGGGUCACCCCAGGUUUCUAGGGGUCAGCCAGCAUUUAUAAAGAAGAAGAAAACCAUCCGUCUGUUUUGGAACGAGGUACGGCCAUUUGAGUGGCAGUGUAAAAACAACAAACGCUGCAGAGAAUUCCUGUGGUCGAAACUGGAACCCAUUAAGGUGGACACUUCCAAACUGGAGCAUCUCUUUGAGUCUAAAUCCAAGGAACUGCCUGUCACAAAGAAAACUGCUGCAGAUGGGAAGCGACAGGAGAUCAUUGUAUUGGACUCAAAACGAAGCAACGCUAUUAAUAUUGGCUUGACUGUGUUGCCCCCUCCCCGGACUAUCAAGACUGCUAUUUUGAACUUUGACGAAUAUGCCUUAAACAAGGAAGGAAUAGAGAAAAUCCUGACCAUGAUCCCGACUGAAGAGGAGAAGCAAAAGAUCCAGGAGGCGCAGCUGGCGAACCCUGAUGUCCCCCUGGGCAGCGCUGAGCAGUUCCUUCUCACCCUCUCCUCCAUCAGCGAACUCUCCGCCAGGCUCCAGCUCUGGGCUUUCAAGAUGGACUACGAGAUAGUGGAAAAGGAAGUUGCAGAACCACUUCUAGACCUGAAGGAAGGAAUGGACCAACUGGAGCACAAUAAAACUUUGGGAUUUAUCCUUUCUACUCUACUAGCCAUUGGGAACUUUCUGAACGGAACCAACGCCAAAGCUUUUGAGUUGAGCUACCUCGAGAAGGUUCCAGAAGUCAAGGACACGGUGCACAAGCAGUCCCUCCUGCACCACGUCUGCACUAUGGUGGUAGAAAAGUUCCCAGACAGCACUGAUCUUUACUCAGAGAUCGGGGCCAUCACUAGGUCAGCCAAGGUUGACUUUGAACAACUCCAGGAAAACUUGUGUCAGAUGGAAAGACGGUGCAAAGCAUCAUGGGAUCACCUUAAGUCUAUAGCAAAGCAUGAAAUGAAGCCAACUUUAAAGCAAAAAAUGUCCGAGUUCCUUAAAGACUGUGCAGAAAGAAUCAUAAUCCUGAAGAUUGUUCAUAGAAGAAUAAUUAACAGGUUUCAUUCAUUUUUAUUAUUUAUGGGUCAUCCUCCCUAUGCAAUACGUGAAGUCAACAUCAAUAAGUUCUGCAAAAUUAUUAGCGAAUUUGCUCUGGAAUACCGCACCACCAGGGAACGAGUUUUGCAGCAAAAACAGAAACGAGCUAACCACAGGGAAAGAAACAAGACCAGAGGGAAAAUGAUAACAGAUUCCGGCAAGUUCUCCAGCAGCUCGCCGCCCUGCCAGAGCCAGCCCCAGGGGCUGCAGUACGCAGAGGACGCUGCAGAGCACGAGAACAUGAAGGCUGUGCUGAAGACCUCCUCCAUCGGCGGGGAAAGCACCACAGUGCUCGGGGUCCGCACUCGAAGCCGAGCCAGCCGAGGCCGUAUCGGUUCAUGGAACGCUGGCAACGACGAUUCACCUAAUGCAACAGAUGAUGCAGCAGAUGAGAUCAUGGAUCGCAUUGUAAAGUCCGCCACCCAAGUGCCAAGCCAGCGAGCGGUGCCUAGAGAGAGGAAGCGAUCACGAGCAAAUAGGAAGUCAUGUGAGUAUAUGACUUAAAUUUCUCAAAAUAAGCAAAUGUGCAAAUAUUUAUGUAUAUCUGUGUAGGAACCAGGCCUUUAGUAUGCAGACAUGCAUUGGUAGCUCCUAGUAGCUUGAGUAUAUACUUAUGAUUGGUGUAUAUUCCUCUUGGUAUUGUUUAAACAAUGUAUCCAGUGGAUGACUCUGUCUUCUACAGAAGAUGAAAUGUCUUUAGCAGUAAGAGAAGAAGAAUGUUUUAUGGUGCUUUAUAGCUUCUCUGAUGACAGUACUUAUUCAUAACUAGAGAAGUCAGAUCAAGACCUCAGAUGGAGACUGUGAAGGUACUGUGAACUGGCAUGAAGAUUAAUAGUUGUAUCUGUAGCUGAAUUUUUUCAUGAAGCAAAAGGUAGUUUGAGAGAUUUCACCUCUUAAAAUCUUUCUCUCUUGUGCUGUGUAUACUCCUUCCACAGCCCUGAAAACAAAAUGUCUACUGCCGCUUGGCCGCAAAGUGGUUAUAGACGAGCUUAGCUUCCAUUGGGAAGAAAAAGUAGCACAUUUAUAAGGUGGUCUUUCAACAGUGUAGCGUGGCUGCAGGGCUGAGCUGUGGCACCUGAGUUUGAGCAAUUUGAUUUUGCACUUUAGUAAACACAAUGUUUAAGAGGUGAUGACCUUUCUAGUACUUAUUUCCUUAUGUGCAGAGACUACUGUGAUUAUUAUGAGUAGGAUAAGUACCCAAAGAACAAAAGAUUUUAGUGUUUAAUGUCAUUCACCAUAUGUGGCUUUUUGACUACCUUUCCAUCCAUCUUUUUAGCAUUUCUGGGAAGUUAGGACAAAGAGGAGACAACAACAGUGAGUGAAAAAUCACACAGAUUUUUGUUUUUUGUGGAAUUGUUCUAACAUAGUGGGUGAUCAAAAAACAUUUGGUAUAAGCAGUGAUUGCUAUAAACUAGCAUGUGCUGAAAGCAUAUUCACUCUCCCCAACAUGCUAAGAAAGGGACUUCUGCAUGUCACAAGAGUGAAAGCAAAGUGGACAGUCUGGUUAGAUGAGCCAGACUCUGAGCAAAGAAAAUGAGCUGACACUGGAUUGUCUGUUUUACUUUCCAUCAUAUGCCGUGCCAUACCUCUUUGUGGUAUCACCUUCUGCUGCUACCCACUUUCCCACACAGUUCUGGUGUUCUACACGUGCUGACUGCCCUAGCUGGCUUGUGCAUAUCAAAUAAACUUCUUGUAUGUUUGCCUAUUUCCGUAGUUUUUCCUGUGCUAAAAUAUUUCCUCUGUUAGCAACACUACCUUCAUGCACACACACCAAAAAGUCUUAUUUCUGCUUUUUACUAGGUACGUUUUUCCCAAGGAAGCACUUGCUGAAGGAAAAAACAAACAAAAAAACCCCCCCAAAAACCCACCCAGGAUAAUGAUAAUAAAAAUACUAUAUAACAAAUACUAUGUAUUUUUCCAUGGAGUUGGUUUUUAUUUUCAGCAAAAACAUUAACAGGGAUUAAGUAUUCAGUAAAUGUUUAGGCUGGGACUUGCUCCCAUUGUAAUUAAUCAUGAUAGAAUCCAGCUCUUUUGCUUGUUUGUUCUUCAAGAUCUGGAUGAGACACUUAAGUGGAUUAAAAGGCAGUUUCAAAACAAACAUAAAAGUUCAGUAGUUUAGCAUCCCUUUCAACUGACUUGCUAAAAGAAAGUAUGAAAGGAGAAUAUAUUAGCUGAACUAUUUCACUUUGAUAGAUAGUCACCAAUAUACCGGGAUGAUGAAUAGAUGAAGUAGUUGAGCACUAAAAUACACUCGGCUGGACUGAUAAUAGGGUACCUCCAGGAAAUGAGCAGAGACCAGCCCUUGUCAGUGCAUGAUGUGAAUUACAACACAGGUCCUCCAUGAACAUAUUAGAAAGUAGAUCUUAGGCAUACUUUAAUAAUUUAGAUUAGCAGGCGCUAUGGUAUUUGUUAUCUGCAGAGCAAAGAGACCAUAUUAUCUGAUGAGUUUGAUUCACUACCUUCAAUCUUCAGGCUCCCAUACACAUCCUUUGGCUUUUGCUGUGAGCUUGGUAUUCAAUCUAUUCAUAGACAUCAAAGUGAAACUCAGUUAAAAGGAAUGAUUUUCACUGUGCAUCAUGUUGCAUAUGUCUCAUUGCUUUCAGUGCAGAACUGGAAAUUUUGUCAGGCUUAGUUAGCGUUCAGCAAAGUUUUUAAUGAAACUGAGCUGAGAUCUGUGUUUUUAGCAAAAUCAGAAACCCAAAAGAUUUAUAUGCAAUUGCACUGUAAACAUUUCCUGUGGUUCAGGUAGGAGCUUCUCAUGGGCGAGGGAUUUUCUUGCCGUAAAAAAAAGAUAGAAAAAUGUGAAGUAAAAGGCAAGUCAUUUAUAACUAGGGGAAAACAGAAACAGGAAUAUGAAAAAGUUAUGUUCAAAAAAUUGUUAUAAUGGGAAGAUGAGACAUUUUGAACAUAUUCAUUUCAACCAUUUUACCUUUUGUAAUUUUUGAGCUGCGUGACUGUAUCUGGUAUACAGAGAGCUUAGUUAGAUCUUAAUGAUGUGGAAGAGUUUGAACUCUCAGAGCAAUCAGCAGAACCAUAAAUUGGGAGGAGGAAUAAAGCAGUGAGUCAUCCAACAAAAGACAGAUGGAAACGUCUGUAUCUGUUGGUUGAAGAUACAAAGGGUCACUGAUAAAUCCAGAUAUUACUGAAGCCGACUGAGACCUAGUAGGAAGGAAUUUGUUCCGUGGGAGCUGAAAUGGACUACAGAAAGCUAAGGUACAUGUGAGAAGGACACUAAAGAGCGGACUGACACCAGAAGAAGCCAAAGCACUGGGCCUCAUCAGCACCUCGGAGAUGCAGGUUUGACAUCCCUGAGGUGGCGACGAGAAGAGCCAUUCAUCUGAAGCACACAGGCUGACGACCUUUCGGUGUGGCAUUGACCUGCCAGCCUCCUCUGCUGCUCCCAACAUCCCGUCCUCUGUUAGUUUGAUUUUAAUAAGCAACAAAAAUGAAACCCCACAGCCAGGGCAGAAGGGUGUGCCACAGCUCAGCCCAACAUCUGGACAGUAACUGAGGAAGCGUUUGUGUGCUUGUAGGUGAAAGCAUAUGGCUGCUUCUUCUCUCAUGGUGUGUUGAUGUGGGUAGGCAGGGGCUCUCUCUGAGUUAUCUGUCAUGUGAGCUGUGUUUAUGUUGGCUUUCCCUGUGCCCUGUUUUAGUCAGUGUAAAUGUAUGGCAUUUUGUCAAUGCAAGGAACAGUCCUUAAAGAGGCAAAAUAACUCCUGUUACAGCGACCCCAACUUUCCUGAAGCAGAUUCAUUAAGCAAAGAUGCACAGUCUGUGCAACCCUGUGGUUUGGGGUUUUUUUUAAUUAUUAUUUUGCCACCAAAGAAUGUAAAAAUGUGUGUGUACCUUUGUAUAUGUACAGAAUGAAUGUGUGGACAUGUGUGCGUGUAUCGAUACACAUACAGUCAUGGUGUGAAAUCGUGUUCCUGCUGAAGCUAGCUGGACCAUGAUUUUCACUCUGGGGCCUUACCGUUCCACCUGGACAGGAGGAAAAGAAUGUCUUUUUGUAGGAACUCAAUGUUACUCAAUGGGAUUCACCCUGUGGGGCAGGAGAAGGCCUGCAAUACAAGUGGAAAGUUUAGGAUCCUGAAUUCAUGUGUAUUAAUACACACUCAUACUGUACAUAGCAGCAUGCACACAGAGGAGAGGACACAGAAUACCUCCCUCUUGUUGAGCUAUGGCUGUACUGUGCAUUUGUACAGUUUCAAAGAGAUCUAUGCCAACAAUUUUACAUACUCGAUAAAUGCAUUCAGAUGCUAAGAUCAAGAAGUUUUGUUCACUUGCCUGGGCCCUUCAUGCUGCUUUUCUCUGCUGCAAGAUAAUGUGGUGGUGAUUUUAUUUCAAAUUGAUGGAUCUGAAUAUGAAAUGGCCCUGCUAAAAGCCUGCUGUGUUUUUGCUGUUCUUUACUCUUUUAUUGUGAUUACCCUUGAUGCAAGUGGAGAGGGUACCAUGGUGAACACUCCAAUAUGUUUGCCCUUAUCUCACUGUUUUAUAACUGACUUUUAUAACUGCCCUCAGCAUGUGUGUUUAAAGAAUCUUUAGUCAACUCAUCUGCCUUUAAGUGGAGGACAUAUACAGCAGAGAAGAGGAAUUGAAUGCAGUCACCCUAGCCAGUGCUGAAGAAUUUUGAAGAGAACUGCAAAUAACAGUAAUGUAAAAGGGAACUUUUUAAGCCAAAGUCUGUAUAUGACCAAUCGAUCCUCAAGGAUGCACAAGAUUAUCUAUUUCCAUUGCCUUAGCCUCUAAGAUUAAGGGUGCGUCUGCACAGCAGUAACAGCUGAGGCUUCCUUCAAGCUAGUUAACUGGGGAACUGCAGCAAUUCAGUCAUGGUAACAGGGUUCCAUCUUGGCUGUAAAACACACUUGAAAGUAAGGUUAAUUAAUAGUCUAUGCUGGGCUCCUAAUGCCAUAGCUAUAUUGCUUUUGGCACCCAAGCUAGGUCAGGUACAUCAACAAGUUAUUCUGCUCUGCUCUCAUUAAGGACAGGAUAAUGACUGAAGAUUGUUCAAGAUAGUUGAACCAAACACGAUAAACCUUUGAAACCUUGGUCAUCUAUCUCAUCACAUUGAACACAGCAUCCAAGUGAUGAGAGAACCAGGUAGCUGACAACACUGCAAUGAGAUCUGUGGUGGAGCAUCCUAUCUAUGCUAUCCCUCUCUUGAGUGUUUCAUUCUUUUUUUGCUGUUGCCUUGGAUCUUCACGUGUCAAAAUCCGUGGGUAAAAAGUCACUAAUGAGCAACGGUUCUUAAGGGUAGCAUCGAGUUUGAUCUGGUUUUCCCCUCAGCUUGUUUAAAAGUCAAUUGUACAAGUAGGCAGAAGGCAGUAGUUGUGUUAUUAAUAAAAUGUGUUGUGUAUUUGAAAGCUAUGAAAAGGAGGAAGCUGGUUAGGAAACAAAGAAGUGGCAUAUAAUUAAUUUCACUGUAAAAUAAGCAAGACCUACGGGCAUAUGAAUUUUAAAGUGAAUCUUUAUGUGCUGCUUACCAUUAUGGACUUUUUCAAUGUCUGUUAAGGAUGCUUAGAACAAAGAAAUGAAGGUAUUGGGGGUUUGUGGAGGUCUUUGAGGUCUGAAACAAGAGGAAGACAUCCUGAAUGUAGCGGUUAUGUGAUAUGAACUGUGAUACUUGCAAAGUGAUAAAAGAAUGAAAAAUGGAACAAAAUGCAUUUAUACUGACAGUGGUCCUAUAUUUGAUUGGAGGGAGAAAAUUAAGUUUUUAAAACUGAAUAAUUUAAUUAAAAUAUGCUGAAUGUGCAAAGUAAGUGGCUGUUGGUGACCACUUGGUAACAGGAAACAAAUUUGUGUUUCAUUUAGACAUAGUACAGCAUCUGUGUGUGAAACAUAACAUAGCUGAUGAAUUACUAAUAGUUGGGCAUAUGUAUUUUCCAAGAAUUGUGCAAAAAUUGUACAAAACUUCAUAUGCUCCUUAUCAAGGAGAAAAAUAAAUACGGGGAGUGGGGUUAGAACAAGUUCAGGAAAAAAAGCUGGUUUCUUUCAGAUUCUCUGGAUGCAAGUGUCUUUCAUGUGAAGCAUAUUCUUCUUUGCCUAUUUUUCCAUUAUGCUUGUUUUUCUGUAUUUUUGCCUAAGUUCCUGUUCUCUGUCUGUAAAAUGGAUACCAAUUUUUCUGAAGGAUAACUUGGUCUUGUUUAUGCAGUAGCGUACAGUCAGAUUAAUUCCACUGUCCUCAGUGUUUACUGCAACAAGAUGAUCAAGCACGGUAACAAUGCAAUAACUACAGAAAAGAUUUUCAUUCUGGUUCACGAUAAAAAUGGCCAGCAGCCAGCCCAACGUGCUAACCUGUGAGGUGGCAGUGUUUCCUCCAGACUCUGCUAGCAUGUCCUGAAUGUGGGAAUAACAUUUGUUCCCCUUCAUCUACCAAGUGGAUUCCAGAUGAAAUGGAGGAAUUGGUUAUAUUUGCAUGCCUUUGUCUAAUCAGGUUGUAACCUUCAGGAUUUGAGUUGCUGCCUGCCCCUCUAUCAUCAAAAGAGCUCACCGUAAGGAUGUAACAGUUGUUUUAAAAUGUGUGUGAGAUAUGGAAUGUUUUUGCGACAAAUGUAAAGGUCUUGGAAACACAAUGUAGUAACACAUGUUCCCAUUUCUCACUUAGAGAUCCAUGAAGGCUGUUUCUAAACACUCGCAGCCAUAACAACUAUGUCUCUUCUCUUUCUCAUAGUACCAGUCAGCUGCAAAUGUAGUGCCCAGAGUUUUGUAUCUCCACCAAGCUCUCAGAGUCGCUGCUGGUGUUCAUUUCAGCACCCAUCUGCUGCCAAUAACUUGUCUGUCUACCACCAUAAUGCCUUCCUGAUUUGGAUGCUGAGGUAAACUUUAGCGUAUGAAAUGGCCGCCAAAGGGAAGCUAUCCUAAUUUCCUUUCAUCUCCCUUGGUGUUUAAAAGCAGACUGCAUACAAAUACUUGGUAUUCCCUCGCUCCCAACUGAGGGAUAACUUUCAGUAGCAGUUAUGUGGCUGCGGUGAAGAAACACCCCCAGGGAAUGCUGUGUGCCACAAUCGAGAGUGAAAGAUCCCUCACAAAAAUUAAAUUCAUCACUCUUCACCUUUCAGUAAGGCCAGGCACCAGGCUCAUGGAUUCCAGAUGUUUUAUAGCCCCUUGGCUGCUACGUGACCCUUCUGUUUGAUAGAUCCCUGUCCAUAAUCCAACAUCAACAAAACAAUGGUGUUUUAAUGAGGGUCUGUCUUGCUCCGAUAAAUACUAGAAACAGCAUCAAAAGCAGUUUUCAAAAUACGUUUCUUCUUUUCUUUUGACCCCUUUUUAUUGUAAAUCUCUUUAGUGAUUGGCUCUGUCAGCAAAAUAAGGCAUCAGAUUUGUAGGUAGACAAGAUUUUGGCUUUAGCUUAAUAGAAAGUCCCAUGUGAAUAUCUAGAUAAGAGUUCUUGCCCCGAUUUAACAGAAAUUUGGAGUCAGUCUUGAUGUGACUGAACAGCAAGAGCCUCCUGCAAGAUGCUUCAUUGCACUUCAAGGUACUAGAUAACGUGGUAGGACAGCACCUUAAACCCUUCAUGUGCUGGGCUCUAAACCUGCCCUGGCAAACGCUAAAAGCCAUUGAAAAGUCACAAGUGAGGACUGCAACAUCUACCGCAAACCUAAGAGGUGCGAUGCCACUGCAGGUGCAGCAAAUGAUUCCUUUUGUCGGGCACCCGCUCUGCGCAGACGGGCACCCAGGCUGCCUGCCGUGAUCUAAGGGACGUGCAGGGACGUGGUGUCAGACAGAAGCACAAGCAUGUAUCUUCCUCUCUCUUUUUCACUCCUGUGCACCCACUACACGUCCCGCUCCUCCCGUUGUUGUCGAGGCGGGUUGUGCACGCGUGCAUAGGCAGGGAGCCUGACCCUGUGCCGUGUUCGGAUGAUGGCUCUGCGUUUUUAGCGUCGGGAUGCAAGAAACGCUCGCCUAAGCUGUAAGGACCAUGGCUGUUGAUGUUUCUCCGCAGGGAAAACUGCCAGGUACUUACUGCCAGGCUCUGCAAGAAAACAAACUGAAGCAUUUUUUGAAAGAGAAAACGUUUGGUUAUAGGCAACUGUUGAAAAUGAUUUGCAAACACUUGAACAACAUGUAAGGCCCACCUUCCUUAUUUUGACUGGAGCAGCAGCUGGCUCAAUUGGCAUUUCAGAUGCAAUCCCAAGAGGUUUUUGGCAAGCAGUUUAAUAGUUACAUAGCAAGUACUGCAAGGAGUUUCUGAGAUGCUGUAUAGUUUUAUGUUUACACACACACACACAAAAUUAAAAUUAUUUCUAAUUAGUCCAUUUCACGUUGAGUGGCAGAUAGAGAUAUAUUUUGUUUAAUCACUAUCUAAUACAGAGGCUUCUGUGAAAGAAAAGGUUUAUUUGUAGCAUUGGCUGCAUUUCUCCUUUUUAAAGACUGUCUUUGCGCAUAUAGUGUCCUUUUUUGUGAGCUGGGAAUUGUAAAAAAAUGUAAAGUAGAAAAGGACGUGUUUCUUAGAUGAAGGAGAAAUACUGUAAAAUUGUGUAAAUGUCACUACUCAUGUUUUUUCGUGUUCUGUGUAGCAUAGUGUAAAAUAGGCUUUCCAGCAGUGUUAUUCUGUGAAUUGUAAUUUAAAAAACAAGCCAUGCAUGGUCAGAGAUACAAUCUACAGGUCCUUUUGGUUGAGUUUUUGGGUUUGUUUGUUGUUUUCUCAUUUUAGGGGAAUUUGUUCUACGUUAAAUUUAAUUGUCCAUGAAACUGCAUUUUUGUUUCUCAGUUUUAUUUCAUAAAGAACUUGAAUUACUUUACCAGAUUUUAUUACACACAAAGCUCACCUACCGUUUGUAUUGAUCCUUCAGAAGCUUAGUCACAUUUAGCGUAAACCAGGGCAGGUUUCUUUUUAACACACCCUACAUCUGCCUCUUCUCCCCCCACUUUACUGUCUGGAAAGAUGCAAUCACACUUUUCUUUUUUUUUUUUUUUUCUGUGCCAUGCAGGGUCAAUAUGGAAAACUGACCGCAGACCUGUGUCCAAAAUUUCUUGAUAUAAGUAGUUAAAAAGCUCACCUCUACAGCAUUAUGUAAACACAUCUUGCAAUAAAGCUUUAUAAAGCA